rnacentral:rRNA from 1 species
ACGGGAGGCAGCAGUGGGGAAUAUUGCACAAUGGGGGAAACCCUGAUGCAGCGAUGCCGCGUGAGGGAAGAAGGUUUUCGGAUUGUAAACCUCUGUCAUCAAGGACGAUAAUGACUGUACUUGAGAAGGAAGCUCCGGCUAACUACGUGCCAGCAGCCGCGGUAAUACGUAGGGAGCGAGCGUUAUCCGGAAUUACUGGGUGUAAAGGGAGCGUAGGCGGGACUGUAAGUCAGAUGUGAAAUAUACGGGCUCAACUGGUAGACUGCAUUUGAAACUGCGGUUCUUGAGUGAAGUAGAGGUAAGCGGAAUUCCUAGUGUAGCGGUGAAAUGCGUAGAUAUUAGGAGGAACAUCAGUGGCGAAGGCGGCUUACUGGGCUUUAACUGACGCUGAGGCUCGAAAGCGUGGGGAGCAAACAGGAUUAGAUACCCUGGUA